UACGUAGGGACCAAGCGUUGUUCGGAUUUAUUGGGCGUAAAGGGCGCGUAGGCGGCGCGGUAAGUCAGUUGUGAAAUCUCUGAGCUUAACUCAGAACGGCCAAGUGAUACUGCAGUGCUAGAGUGCGGAAGGGGCAAUCGGAAUUUUUGGUGUAGCGGUGAAAUGCGUAGAUAUCAAGAGGAACACCUGAGGUGAAGGCGGGUUGCUGGGCCAACACUGACGCUGAGGCGCGAAAGCCUGGGGAGCAAACGGG
rnacentral:rRNA from 1 species